rnacentral:rRNA from 1 species
AGUGAACGCUGGCGGUAGGCCUAACACAUGCAAGUCGAACGGCAGCACAGGAGAGCUUGCUCUCUGGGUGGCGAGUGGCGGACGGGUGAGGAAUACAUCGGAAUCUACUCUGUCGUGGGGGAUAACGUAGGGAACCUUACGCUAAUACCGCAUACGACCUACGGGUGAAAGCAGGGGACCUUCGGGCCUUGCGCGAUUGAAUGAGCCGAUGUCGGAUUAGCUAGUUGGCGGGGUAAAGGCCCACCAAGGCGACGAUCCGUAGCUGGUCUGAGAGGAUGAUCGGCCACACUGGAACUGAGACACGGUCCAGACUCCUACGGGAGGCAGCAGUGGGGAAUAUUGGACAAUGGGCGCAAGCCUGAUCCAGCCAUACCGGGUGGGUGAAGAAGGCCUUCGGGUUGUAAAGCCCUUUUGUUGGGAAAGAAAUCCAGCUGGCUAAUACCCGGUUGGGAUGACGGUACCCAAAGAAUAAGCACCGGCUAACUUCGUGCCAGCAGCCGCCGUAA